GUUCAGACUUGUGCGGUUCCGAUGGCUAAAAUAUUAUUUAGGGCUAUACAUUUAAUAAAAAAUGUAUGUGUAAAAAUUUGGGUUUGGAAUGCUAAGAAAAAUCACAGGCCCAUCAUGGAGUUACUUACGUUAAG